AGUCCCGGCUAGGGACACAGCUCUUAGACUUUGAGCUAGACAACCAGGAGGACAGGAGGACCUAGUAUCCUGCCUCCAUCAGCCCAUCAUUUAUGCAAAUGCUACUUAGUUGCCGUCUAGAUGCAGGAUGCUGUCUGCCCUGUUAAAUGCUGUGUGAACCCAGAUGGAAGCUGAGCAGACAUCACACUCGUGAGCAGCUCCCCUUCCUGUUUCAGGCUGGCCUUGAACUUACAGGGAUUCACCUGCCUCUGCCUCCCAGAUGCUGAGAUUAAAGGCAUGUGCCAUCACCACCUGAACAACAGCAGCUUUCUAAGGAACCAGUAAGGCACUACAGACUUUUCAUAUAACAUCACCUUCAUUCUCUCACAACUAAUUCUACAAAACAGAUGUUAUACGACCUCGUUCGCUGAAGUCAAAGAUGCAGAGGGGCCAAGGUGUGGGCUCCGGACCUCACACCAGUGUGGCAGAUUCAACAAGCCCAGAAUAAGCCUCUUCCUUUGCUCACAAUAAGAUUAAGCCAACUGCCUCUUCAUUCCUCAGUCACACUCCUCCUCUGACCCUGCUCCAGGAGGCUCAUCUUGUCAGACUUCACACUGAAUGAGCGCUGAGGAUGCUGUAGAGUAUGAGCUGUGUGCAGGUUUCAAAAGCAAUUUGUGCCCCUGAAACAAGCCAACCAGCAGAGAAGGAACAAAAGAAACAUGGUGUCUUCUACCUCCAGCCUUGAAGCUUCCAGACCUCCCUACACGAACCCCCCCCCCACACCCACUCCCCGAAAUGAUGUCCCAGUGAAGAGCCAGGCUCUUAUCCUUCCAUCCAUGCCUCUCAGGCGUCUGCUUCAUUUAGCAUGUAUGUGCAUUUUACCAGGUUAAUGCAACACAGACUAUUUCCUAGUAGCUGUGAAGCCCAGUGUAGCCUCUGCUGCCGGACACAUGGUUUGUCUCCAGUCUUUCCCUUCCCAGCAAAGCAGCCUUGACUCAUCUCCUUUCUCUAUGACAGAGCCCUUUAGAAUGUACUCACUGGGCCAACGAUGCAGUUUCAAUUUGGGUUUUUAAUGGAAGUGGGUGGCUAGGUAAGUGGGUUGAAUGACUGACUGAUUCUGAAUAGCUCUGAAUUUAUUGAGCUGCUUCCAGGAAGGUCCAGGUGACCUGGGUAGCAGAAAGGACACCCAUUCCUGUUUGAUGGUGUUUUUUUUCUAUCUAUCAUCCUUCCUGUCUUUCCUUCUUUAUUUCUUUCUGGGUGAGACAGGGUCUUAUAAUACAGUUUCAGCCAGCCUGGAACUCAUUAUGUAAACCAGGCUGGUCUCCAGCUCAUGGAGAUGAGCCUGCCUUUGCUUCCCAUGUACUGAAAUUAAAGCCCAGCUUGUUUUUUUCUCUUUACCACACUGGGGAUUCAACCCAAGGCUAGUAAGCACCCUGGCACUGAGUAUAUUCUGGACCUCUUCUUAUUUUAAUGUUGAUGUAGGGUCCUGCUAAGUUUCCCAGACUGACCUUCAACUCACUAUGCAAGUCCAGGCAGGCCUUGAACUCACGAUCCUCCUGGUUCAGCUUCCUGAGCUGAUGAGUGGCAGGCACCAUUAGUCUCAUUCGGAAGGAUGUGCUUCAUCCUUGGUGAAAGCGCUCAUCUCUUGUCUUGGCUGGCUAGAAUUUCCAGGGUGAAGAAAGGAGGAUUAGAAAAGUUCAAGGUCACCCUCCCCUACAUAGAGAGUUCAAGGCCAGGCUGGGCCACAUGAGAAAAACCAAAAGAACAGAUGGUGUUAGCAGGAGGUAGGGAAGGAGUAGGGAGGUCCAGCCCUGGGUGGGGCAGAGCCCCUGCUAAAGACAAGGGACAUUCCUUAGUGUCAACUUUCCCUUAGGAUGGAGAGGAGGGGUUGCUAGCUCGUCACACCCCACAGCCCUGGAGGACAGGAGCUUACUGUUGAGUUAGUGGGGCAGAGUCGGGGAGAGGCUGUCAUUUCGGCAGCCCUGGUACAUGGAGCCACUAGCAGGCUUCUUCGUCUCAUGUCUUCAUCCGCACCACCUCCUAGCAGCCUGCCCUCCCCAACUUGUCCACUUAAAGCCUGGGCCAGUGAGAUGACUCUGCAGAUAAAGGUAUUGUCACCCAGCCUGAGGACCUGAGUUCAAUUUCUGGGUUCCAUAUGAUGGAAGGAGAGAACUGAGUCCCUUAACUUGAUCUCUAACCUGCACAUGUGGAUUGUGAAUGGGCUUAUGUGCCCACACACCCUCUCUCUCACACAAUAAACAUAAGUAAUAAAUGUAUACAUGCAUAUACACAUACAUAAUACACACAUACAUACAUGCUUGAAUGCAUACAUACGUUCGUAUGUAUGUCCUUGCCACUCUCUUGGAACCUGACUCCUACAGAAUGUAACCUUGAUUUGUGCUCCAGGCUCACUUGACACCUGGCUUCUGUGGCUUGUUCGAGUCCUCUGUCUCCCAGACAAUGAGCUAGGAUUCUGGUCAUUCAGGUUCAGCCUGGGUGCAGAGAGUUUUGAGUGGGCCUGUCCACUGGAGACCACUCCUCUCGUCACCCAUGAAGCAUCUAAAGUUAAGUAUGAUGGUGCAGACCUGGAAUCCCAGAAUUCAGGAGGUGGGGGCAGGGAUUUCUAAACUCAGAAGUCAGCCUGAGCUAUCUAGAGAGAUGCUGUUUCAAAAAUUUAAAACAGCCGGGUGUGGUGGCACACGCCUUUAAUCCCAGCACUCGGGAGGCAGAGGUAGGCGGAUUUCUGAGUUCGAGGCCAGCCUGGUCUACAAAGUGAGUUCCAGGACAGCCAGGGAUAUACAGAGAAACCCUGUCUCGAAAAACCAAAAAUAAAAAAUAAAUAAAACAAAACCGAA
rnacentral:lncRNA from 1 species